UCGGCGCCGCGAUGCUCUGCUUUUAUCCGAUGGGAUUCGGGGUGGGAUUUUUCUUUUUUUGUUAUUUUGAGGUAUUUGCUUUUUUUGCUGGCGCCGCCGCCGCCRCUGCGCGGGGCUCUGGCGCACCGAUAGCUUCCGAUCGCGGGGACCCCGAAGGGAAAGUAGCACCGAUAAAUCCACGGAAAGGGAGGAAAAAGAAGGAAUUAAAAAAAAAGAAUGGCRAAAGGUGGACCCGAGCCCUGCGGCUGGGGGGGCGCGCGGGGCGCCCGUGGGGUGGCGUGGUGGGUGCCGUGACGGGCACCGGGCCUGCGCACUGUGCCCGUGCACCGUGCACGCACACCAUGCACGCACAGUGCCCGAGCACCGUGCACGAGCACUGCACGCAUGCACCAUGCAUGCACACCGUGCAUGCACAUUGCCGGUGCACCGUGCACGAGCACUGCAUGCAUGCACCGUGCAUGCACACCAUGCAUACACAGUGCCGGUGCACCGUGCACGAGCACUGUGUGCAUGCACCGUGCACACACGCCAUGCACGAGCACUGUGCACAUGCACCGUGCACGCACGCUGCCUGGGCACCGUGCAUGAGCACUGGGCACAUGCACCGUGCAUGCACACCAUGCAUGCACAGUGCCCAGGCACCGUGCAUGAGCCCUGUGUGCAUGCAUUGUGCAUGCACACUAUGCAUGCACGGUGCCCGGGCACCGUGCACGAGCACUGCACGCAUGCAUCACGCACACACACUGUGCACACACACCGUGCCAGUAUACCUUGCCUGUGCACUGUGCACACCCACCGCGCACGCACACCCUGUAACACACCGUGCCCGUGCACUGUGCAUGAACCCUGUGCAUCGUGCACACACACCAUGCCACGCACCGUGCCCGUGCACGGUGCACAGGGCACCGUGCACGCACACCAUGUCACACGCUGUGUCCCUGCACCGUGCACACGCACCGUGCACACACACCGAGCUACACGCCGUGCGCGUGCACAGCGCAGGGACACUGUGCCACGCUCUGUGCCCAUGCACCAUGCACGCGCCCCGUGCCGCACGCCGUGCCCGUGCACGGCUCCCGUGCAGCAUGCCCGUGCCCUGGGCCACACACACACAAUGACACACACCGUGCCCAUGCACUGUGUACACGCACCAUGCCACGCACCAUGCCUGUGCACCGUGCACGCACACCGUGCCACUGCACCACGUCCAUGCACCAUGCCUGCACACCGUGCCAGGCACCGGGCCUCUGCACCGCGCCUGCACACCGUGCCUGCGUGGUGUGCCCACGCACCGUGCCUGCACACGGUGCCCUUGCACCACGCCGGCACGCUGUGUGCACUAUGCUUAUGCACUGUGUGUGUGUGCACGGUGCGUGGCACAAAGUGCCACACACCAUGCCGCACACCGUGCACGCACACCGUGCCUGUGCACCCUGCCUAUGCAYGSUGUGYGUGCACCACGUGGCACACCGUGCCCAUGCACCCUGCCUAUGCACGGUGUGCAUGCACCAUGUGGCACACUGCGCACGCACACCAUGCCUGUGCACCCUGCCUAUGCACGGUGUGCAUGCACCACAUCGUACACUGUGCAUGCACACCGUGCCCAUAUACCGUGCCUAUGCACAGUGUGCAUGCACCACGUCGCACACCGUGCCUGUAUACCGUGCCUACGCACAGCGUGCAUGCACCACGUNNNNNNNNNNNNNNNNNNNNNN
rnacentral:lncRNA from 1 species